rnacentral:lncRNA from 7 species
AGGUUUCCCAGCAAAUAAUCAGACGCCAUAUUUUUUUAAACUUUUUAUACUACCUUGUAUGUCUAUCACAAGAUUGAAUAUUGUAACUUCUUGUAGAGUUAUUAUACAUAUAGAUGUAAUGAUUGGUAAAAUUUCUUCUUGCAAAUUGCAAUCAUAUCACAUGAAUCCGUCCAUUGCCAAUCAUCCUAGAAUAAGAGAUCUUUCCUCUAUAGAAAAUAUGACAAAAACAAG